AGGCAAAUGAAAUUGUUUACCUCUUCCCUCACCUUGGCACAUUCGAGCACCAAGACCUGAGAUACCAGAAAAGAAAGACCGGCUCCCACUGCCUUCCGGUUCCUGCUCUCCCCCGACUGCCUACCUGCUUUCUUAGAAUCUACAUCAGCCUAACCAACUCUGCAAAUUCUCUUAAACCAGCAUCCACAAAAUCCCUAAUAGUUUACUAGCCAAGCAAGAGCUCUGCUCAUGGCUUUCCCUGGAAUUUUCCUAGAUUCCCUAAGAAAGAGAAAGGUAUCUGUGAGGAAAUGGAAUCUCCUGGGGUUGCCAGGCUACUGCUUGGGGGAUCUACACACAGGUUGUCACAGCAGGUCCUUCUAUGCCCAAUCCUCCACCUUAGUGACGGUCUGGAUGAAUGUUCAGAAUGUCUGUGAGUCUGAGGCCCCCAAAAGAAGAGGGGAAAAUGGGGAAAGAAAAGAGAAGAUGGUGAAAUCAGAGACCCUCAGGCCAAUUUGUACAGGCUUCUUCUCAUGAAAUAUCUGAAGAAAACCAAAGCUAAGCCCUCAACUACUUUCAACAGCUGGAUACAGAAGUGGCCUGAGUACAAACACAGGGUUCUUUGGCUUCCACUCAUCUCACUGGCUAUUCACUACCUCUCUAGAAGAUGGGUAAGGACAGGAGAGAGGGUUGUGCACCUGGAAGCAGCAGCAGCAGUAAAUGUAAUGGAGAAACACAUGGCAGCUGGAGAACAAACAGCCGCAAGGACACCCAGUCCCUCUGUAGUUGGGGACAGCAACUCCCACCCAUGAGCUCCUCACCUCCCCACAACAGACUACCCAGAACUGUCGAGCCAGCCCAAGGCUAGAAUGUAACCAUGCCUUGCCACUGCUUCACAGCGGGUGUCAUGGGUGUGAUUUCUGGUUCAGAGAGCAUGGUUCCAAAGAUACAAUUAAAGGACACAGGCAAAAGCACUCAAGCCUCAACCUCCAUCUGGACUCAGCUGCAGAGGGAGACAGGGAGACAAGGCAGGUCAAAGAGGACAACCUGAGCAAGCCUGCCAGAGUUCCUCAGCUCAGGCCAGGUACUGGUGCUUUUUAUCUACUUUAACAAGGCAACAUUUGGGUGUGGUGCAAUGUGUGUGGGUGUGUGCGCGCUCGUGUACAUGCGCAUGUGUUUAUAUAUUCUAUAUUAACUACCUGAAUGUUCUUCCAGAAAAUUCCUUUCUCCUUUUAUCACAUAAAGUCAACCAAAGGUGCCAAACACAAGGAAUCUUCCAAAGCCAGGGAAGUGUAGAAGGAAGAUGAAGAUUGAGGGGACUAGAAAGUUGGGGUCCUCAGACUCACAAAGGGACUAUGGCCUGGUCAGUUGAAAAGGAAAGAGCCCCACAGCAGCCCACUCCAUGUGUCAUGUGACCUAAUCCUUAUGACAGCACUACAUAUUAGGAAGGUGCUAUCAGCCCCAUUUUCAAGAUGCACAAAGGCUCGCCAAGAUAAAUAUGGGGGGAGCAAGACUCAAAUAGAAACUAUAAGGGACAGAGAAAGAACUUGCCCAUGAAACUGACCCUUGGAGAGCAGAGAACAAGG